CGCGGCCUAUCAGCUUGUUGGUGAGGUAACGGCUCACCAAGGCAUCGACGGGUAGCUGGUCUGAGAGGACGAUCAGCCACACUGGGACUGAGACACGGCCCAGACCCCUGCGGGAGGCAGCAGUGGGGAAUCUUGCGCAAUGGGCGAAAGCCUGACGCAGCAACGCCGCGUGGGGGAUGAAGGCUCUCGGGUUGUAAACCCCUUUCAGCAGGGACGAAAUUGACGGUACCUGCAGAAGAAGCCCCGGCCAACUACGUGCCAGCAGCCGCGGUGACACGUAGGGGGCAAGCGUUGUCCGGAUUUAUUGGGCGUAAAGAGCUCGUAGGCGGUUGCGUAAGUCGGAUGUGAAAACUCAGGGCUCAACCCGGAGACGCCAUCCGAUACUGCGCUGACUAGAGUCCGGUAGAGGAGCAUGGAAUUCCUGGUGUAGCGGUGAAAUGCGCAGAUAUCAGGAGGAACACCAGUGGCGAAGGCGGUGCUCUGGGCCGGUACUGACGCUGAGGAGCGAAAGCGUGGGUAGCGAACAGGAUUAGAUACCCUGGUAGUCCACGCCGUAAACGUUGGGCACUAGGUGUGGGGCCUACUUAACGGGUUCCGUGCCGUAGCUAACGCAUUAAGUGCCCCGCCUGGGGAGUACGG
rnacentral:rRNA from 1 species